AAAACACUCCCUUCGUCCGAAAAUGCUUGUCACUGAAAUGAAUGAAUUUAGAUGUAUUUUAAUUCUAAAUUCAUUCAUUUCUAUAAAUUUAUGUGAUAAAUAAUUCAAGAUGAAGGUAGUAGGUG
rfam:Hordeum vulgare subsp. vulgare, WGS project CAJW01000000 data, contig: morex_contig_1569009